CAAGUGUGACGCACGUAAGAUGAUGUAAUGUUUUCCAUUUGCUGUCCCGUGCUCACAUGCCGGCUGCAGCUGGAUGCUUUACUUGCCAAAAACUAUUGGUGCUGCAUUAUGGUGUCAAAGCGACACGUUCAGUUCACUUCAGCAGCUCAACGCAACAGCAAGAAUGAUGAAGAUCUUAGGGACUCCUCAGCUGAUUCGUUUUUACUGACAGCAAAGACCAGCUUAGUCAGCAUCUCUCUGCUUAUCCAAGACAAAGUCUGAAAGAUGUCAACCCGUUUACAUCCCCAGAAAGACAAACUCUCUUCUCAGAGUGAAAGCAGAAACCAGGACACCAGCAGAUAGAACCAGCAUUGCUGAGAUCGGAUUGUCCAGGGUCUUCUUUCAAAAGUCAAAGAGAUCGGCUUCAAUGGUCACCGGUUCUCAUGCUUCAGGUUAACUUCUAUACACCUUAGAACUGUGGAAAUGAUGGUAAUGACCGGAAAAGCAGCUGCCCAGUAACCAGUAGGACAAAAUAUACCAUCUGCUCCACAUGCUUGAGCUCCCAGAAGCAGCGCAUGGUCUCCACCUUCUCCAGGUGUCGGUAGAAGGCCAGUCGGCCCAGGCGGAGGCUGUUGCUGCGGUUGCGGAUGGCCUUCAGCCCCUCCAUCU